GAGUUGAUCUUGGCUCAGAUUGAACGCUGGCGGCAUGCCUUACACAUGCAAGUCGAACGGCAGCACGGGAGCUUGCUCCUGGUGGCGAGUGGCGAACGGGUGAGUAAUGCAUCGGAACGUAUCCUGGAGUGGGGGAUAACGUAGCGAAAGUUACGCUAAUACCGCAUAUUCUGUGAGCAGGAAAGCGGGGGACCUUCGGGCCUCGCGCUCUUGGAGCGGCCGAUGUCGGAUUAGCUAGUUGGUGAGGUAAAGGCUCACCAAGGCGACGAUCCGUAGCAGGUCUGAGAGGAUGAUCUGCCACACUGGAACUGAGACACGGUCCAGACUCCUACGGGAGGCAGCAGUGGGAAUUUUGGACAAUGGGGGCAACCCUGAUCCAGCCAUGCCGCGUGAGUGAAGAAGGCCUCGG
rnacentral:rRNA from 1 species